UAGCCUGAUACAUCAAAACAAGUUCCAAAUAUUGGAAAUGAACGAAGGCUAUACCUACUCAGCAUGGAGGGAGGAAAAUGCGGGUGACGGUAUGUUCUCAUCUUUCAAUUAACGUGGCUUUUUCUACUAAUCAUUUGGGAAUUCCCAACUCAUUGAGUGUGACAGAGAAUCGUUAUGUUCAUUUGUCAUGCUAGAGUAGCUCUUUUGCCUUUUGCAUCCCUUGACUGCAAGCAAAUAAUUUGUUAGCACUAAGCUCAAUGCAGAGAAAGAGAACAAAAAUGCAUGAAAGUGUGAGAAAGAGGGACCUGAGCAGCAGCAGAUUUCUUUGAAUCCAAGAAUUGGCUAUAUAUGCU
rnacentral:lncRNA from 1 species